AGCCGGAGCAGCCGAACCAGACUCUGCCCAGCAACCUGUGAACAAGCUGAUGUUGAUGAUGGCGUAGGAGGCUGAGACGGCAGCAGAAGAGGAAACUUAUUAAGUUUCAAACUCGAAUCCUCGGCUCCUUAAGAAGGUUUGACUGUGUGGUGGCUGGUGUUUGGAUCAACCAUUACAGGAGGAGAACGUUUCAUCUCCACCUCCUCCAAACUUCACCAGAGCCUCAACAUGUGGACAGCACUGUCUUUCUUCAAGCUGCUGGAGCCACAACUUACAUCCCAGCUGUGUUCUCAUCUCCAGACACAAAG